rnacentral:rRNA from 1 species
UACGUAGGGACCAAGCGUUGUCCGGAAUCAUUGGGCGUAAAGAGCGUGUAGGCGGCUUGUUAAGUCUUGCGUGAAAUCUCGGGGCUCAACCCCGAGCGGUCGUGAGAAACUGGCAGGCUAGAGUGCGGGAGAGGAGAGUGGAAUUCCUGGUGUAGCGGUAAAAUGCGCAGAUAUCAGGAAGAACACCCGUGGCGAAGGCGGCUCUCUGGAACGCAACUGACGCUGAGACGCGAAAGCGUGGGGAGCAAACAGG